rnacentral:rRNA from 1 species
AUACGGAGGGGGUUAGCGUUGUUCGGAAUUACUGGGCGUAAAGCGUACGUAGGCGGACUGGAAAGUUGGGGGUGAAAUCCCGGGGCUCAACCCCGGAACUGCCUCCAAAACUUCCAAUCUCGAGAUCGAGAGAGGUGAGUGGAAUUCCAAGUGUAGAGGUGAAAUUCGUAGAUAUUUGGAGGAACACCAGUGGCGAAGGCGGCUCACUGGCUCGAUACUGACGCUGAGGUACGAAAGCGUGGGGAGCAAACAGGAUUAGAAACCCCGGUAGUCC